rnacentral:rRNA from 1 species
AUUGAACGCUGGCGGCAGGCCUAACACAUGCAAGUCGAACGAGGGGCGGACGGGAGAGUAAUGUCGGGGAAACGGCCUGAUGGAGGGGGAUAACUACUGGAAACGGUAGGUAAUACCGCAUAACAUCGGCGGUGCCCAGAUGGGAUUAGCUAGUAGGUGGGGGAAAGGCUCACCAAGGCGACGAUCCCUAGCUGGUCUGAGAGGAUGACCAGCCACAGUGGAACUAAGACGCAGUCCAGACUCCUACGGGAGGCCGCGGUGGUGAAUAUUUCACAAUGGGCGAAAGCCUAAUGCAGCCAUGCCGCGUGUAUGAAGAAGGCCUUCGGGUUGUAGAGUACUUUCAGCGGUACGGCGUUACCCGCAGAGGAGGCGCCGGCUAACUCCGUGCCAGCAGCCGCGGUAAUAC